UACGUAGGGACCAAGCGUUGUCCGGAAUCAUUGGGCGUAAAGCGCGCGUAGGUGGCUUCAUAAGUCCGUUGUGAAAGUCAAAGGCUCAACCUUUGAAAGCCGAUGGAUACUGUGGAGCUAGAGUACGGAAGAGGCGAGUGGAAUUCCUGGUGUAGCGGUGGAAUGCGCAGAUAUCGGGAGGAACACCGGUGGCGAAGGCGGUUCUCUGGGCCUGUACUGACGCUGAGGAGCGAAAGCGUGGGGAGCGAACAGG
rnacentral:rRNA from 1 species